rnacentral:pre_miRNA from 1 species
UCUUAUGGAUGAGCAAAGAAAGUGGUUUCUUGAUAUGGAAACUACUCUUGGUGAAAAUGCCGGGAA